AUACGAAGGUCCCAAGCGUUAUUCGGAAUCACUGGGCGUAAAGAGUACGUAGGCGGUUUGGUAAGUCAGGUGUGAAAUCCCGAAGCUCAACUUCGGAACUGCAUCCGAUACUGCCAGACUUGAGUAAUGGAGAGGCAGGUGGAAUUCUCGGUGUAGCAGUGAAAUGCGUGGAUAUCGAGAGGAAGACCAAUGGCGAAGGCAGCCUGCUGGACAUUGACUGACGCUGAGGUACGAAGGCUAGGGGAGUGGAAGGGAUUAGAAACCCCGGUAGUCC
rnacentral:rRNA from 1 species